AAAGUGACUGUGAAGGGGAACAAUGCCCAUUAUUAAGCAAGAUAGCUAAAGUAACGGGGUCAUGUCCUCCAUUGUGACACGUCCCCCUGCUGAGUGACUUGGCUGAGCACUUUGGGAAGAGCAACCAUUUGAGGAUAGCAAGUGAGGGAAAGCAAAGCAAGAUGUGGCAGGAGAGAAUUCAGAGACUCUCUUCAUCUCAAGUGUAAGUAGGAUUUAUCCUUCUUUCUGAAACGUAGGGGAGGUUUAGCUGCCAGGUGCCCCAAAUCCAGCACAGAGAUCUCUAGAACCCAUUCCUCUUCUGUUUCCUCUUCUUCCCUAGGUUCCAAAGUCUGAGGAGGCUCCGCGGGCUGCUGGUCUCCUGCUGCUGGUUGCCCAAGAUACAUCCCCUGGUCUGCCAGAAGGAGGAAGGAGAUGAGUGGAAGGAGGAGGUGAACAUCAUGAAAGACGGAAAGGAGGAGAAGGUUAAGAUAAGAUCGAUUUUUGUGAGACCAUGCGACCAGGGGAUGGAGUCCACCGAUACCAACGUGGAUGGCAACGGCAGCAGUGAGAACAGCAGCUCGAGCGGAGCUCUUACCCCCCCUCCCACGCCCAGUUCCCCCCUCCCCACAAUUCCAAAUAUAUAAAUAAAGAAAUAUAGAAAU